rnacentral:rRNA from 1 species
AACGAACGCUGGCGGCGUGCCUAACACAUGCAAGUCGAACGGAUUGAAGGGGCUUGCUCCUUCAGUUAGUGGCGCACGGGUGAGUAACGCGUAGAUAAUCUGCCUGAUGAUCCGGGAUAACAGUUCGAAAGGACUGCUAAUACCGGAUAAGCCCACGUGGUCUUUGGACCGUGCGGGAAAAGAGGGGGACCUUCGGGCCUCUUGCCAUCGGAUGUGCCCAGAUGGGAUUAGCUUGUAGGUGAGGUAACGGCUCACCUAGGCGACGAUCCCUAGCUGGUCUGAGAGGAUGACCAGCCACACUGGAACUGAGACACGGUCCAGACUCCUACGGGAGGCAGCAGUGGGGAAUAUUGCACAAUGGGCGCAAGCCUGAUGCAGCCAUGCCGCGUGUAUGAAGAAGGCCUCGGGUUGU